UACGUAGGGGGCAAGCGUUGUCCGGAAUCAUUGGGCGUAAAGAGCGUGUAGGUGGCUCGGUAAGUCCGCUGUAAAAGUCCAGGGCUCAACCCUGGAAAGCCGGUGGAAACUGUCGAGCUAGAGUCCGGAAGAGGCGAGUGGAAUUCCUGGUGUAGCGGUGAAAUGCGCAGAUAUCAGGAGGAACACCAAUGGCGAAGGCAGCUCGCUGGGCCGAAACUGACGCUGAGGAGCGAAAGCGUGGGGAGCAAACAGG
rnacentral:rRNA from 1 species